rnacentral:rRNA from 1 species
GACGAACGCUGGCGGCGUGCUUAACACAUGCAAGUCGAACGCUGAAGCACCAGCUUGCUGGUGUGGAUGAGUGGCGAACGGGUGAGUAAUACGUGAGUAACCUGCCCUUGACUCUGGGAUAAGCCCGGGAAACUGGGUCUAAUACUGGAUGCUACAUGUCACCGCAUGGUGGUGUGUGGAAAGGGUUUACUGGUCUUGGAUGGGCUCACGGCCUAUACGCUUGUUGGUGCGGUAAUGGCUCCCCAAGGCGACGACGGGUAGCCGGCCUGAGAGGGUGACCGGCCACACUGGGACUGAGACACGGCCCAGACUCCUACGGGAGGCAGCAGUGGGGAAUAUUGCACAAUGGGCGAAAGCCUGAUGCAGCGACGCCGCGUGAGGGAUGACGGCCUUCGGGUUGUAAACCUCUUUCAGCAGGGAAGAAGCCACAAGUGACGGUACCUGCAGAAGAAGCGCCGGCUAACUACGUGCCAGCAGCCGCCGUAA